rnacentral:rRNA from 1 species
GAAUAUUGGACAAUGGGGGGAACCCUGAUCCAGCCAUGCCGCGUGUGUGAAGAAGGCCUUUUGGUUGUAAAGCACUUUAAGCGAGGAGGAGGCUACUUAGAUUAAUACUCUGGGAUAGUGUAAGUUACUCGCAGAAUAAGACCCGGCUCACUCUGUGCCAGCCGCCGCGGUAAUCAAGAGGGUGCAAGAGUUAAUCGGACUUACUGGGCGUAAAGCGCGCGUAGGUGGCCAAUUAAGUCAAAUGUGAAAUCCCCGAGCUUAACUUGGGAAUUGCAUUCGAUACUGGUUGGCUAGAGUAUGGGAGAGGAUGGUAGAAUUCCAGGUGUAGCGGUGAAAUGCGUAGAGAUCUGGAGGAAUACCGAUGGCGAAGGCAGCCAUCUGGCCUAAUACUGACACUGAGGUGCGAAAGCAUGGGGAGCAAACAG